AUUAUGAACCAGAUCUCAUAAGUGUUUUGCACAGAUGACACAUAAUACCAAUAUUCUAGCUUAUAGGAAAAGCUGCAUGGCACUUUUAAUACAAUUAUAGGCACAAAGAGACAUCAGCCCUGAUCUUAGAGAUUGCAUUUAAACAAAUAUCAAAACUGUCACUGAAUUUAAAAAAAAAAAAAAAAAAAAGCUCCUUGGAUGCAAUUGCCUCUUUUAUUGUUACCUUUGCUCAGCAUCAUGAGAGAGCUAUUAGGAGGCACAAAUAGCCAGCCCUUCCCCUAGCCUGUCUGCUCAUAUAGUCCAGGCAUACUGGACCUCCCAUCCUAAGGCAGAAGUCCCAUACUGCUCCUCACCAUUAGCAUAACAGGUAUUGCUGGUGCAAGUGGUGGUUCAAAGCAGAUGAGAGCAUCCUGAAAGUGCUCUAAUUUAGAUUGGGACAAGACCUCUAGAUCUCACCACUAGCAUGUUUUUAUAUUAUGUGCUCCAUAAUGAUUGAGCUCCCAGCUGAUCAGCAGCACACCAUUGUCCCUAUCUUCUCUGUUAUUUAGCUCCCACGGUAGAAGGAAGAGGUUGCCUGUGCUUGGAAGAGCAUGAAAAGGAGGAUUACUGAAGGAGCACUCCUUGCUGUUCUGAUAGCGCAGUCACCCUGUGCGGCACACUAUGGCCUUUGUUUCCUGAGUUUUGCCAUUUAUGCGUGCUACUGGGAAGCCUUGAGUUUAGCCAGAAGAGGACAUUGCCACCAGUGGUACAUCCCAGAGAGUGUGUCUAGGAUGUCAGACACGUGGAUUAUCCUUCCCUGCAUACCUGUGUGUGGUUCCUUUCUGUCCUCAUAAAUCAAGUCUCAUGACUAGUUGCAGGAAAACCUGGGGAACAGAAUGUAGCGCUGUUAAAAAAUAAUGUCUUUGUAUCUGGACACCAUUCACUUCCAUUUAAAAAAAAAUGAAAAGCAGGGAACAGAGGGCCUCAAGCCAGCUUCCUUCUCUGUGCAGCAUGUACAUAGUUAUGACUGUCUUUGGGGAAUCAUGUCUUUAAACUUCAGAUGUCUGCCUGCCUGCCUGCUCAGGACUGCCCAGCCCAAGCCCUCCAAAAUCCUGUGUGGACUCUUUCUGCCUCACUUGCUUCUCAGAAAGAAGUACACUAGCAACGGCAGAACCUUGAAGAAGGAACUUGGCUUUUUGCAGCAAAGGAUCAUUCUCAUUAGAAGUUGUCAGUUGCUGGCUGGCGGCUGA
rnacentral:lncRNA from 1 species